rnacentral:rRNA from 1 species
GAUGAACGCUGACAGAAUGCUUAACACAUGCAAGUCUUCGGCGAAGCUGUGCUUGCACAGCCUAGCCAAGGCGGACGGGUGAGUAACGCGUAAGGAACUUGCCCUGCAGUCAGGGAUAACAGACGGAAACGACUGAUAAGACCUGGUAAAGUCAGGCGGACUCAUGUCCAGCCUGAUGAAAAGAGAUGCUGCAGGAGAGCCUUGCGUCCUAUUAGCUUGUUGGUGGGGUAACGGCCCACCAAGGCGAUGAUAGGUAGCCGGCCUGAGAGGGUGGACGGCCACAAGGGGACUGAGAUACGGCCCUUACUCCUACGGGAGGCAGCAGUGGGGAAUAUUGGACAAUGGGGGCAACCCUGAUCCAGCAAUUCUGUGUGCACGAUGAAGGUUUUCGGAUUGUAAAGUGCUUUCAGCAGGGAAGAAAAAAAUGACGGUACCUGCAGAAGAAGCGACGGCUAAAUACGUG